GCUGCUGGGGCCCCCUUCUCGGUCACACUGGGCCCUCAGUCCCCCACAAGGGACCCAGAGAGCUCUCUCUAACACCAACAGAUUCACAGCCCAUCCGCUGUCUCCAUCCCCCUCAGCACAAGGUCCCAGCUCUGCAGCCUGAGCCCGUUCACCGCCCGCCCUCUGUUUCUUCCCCUUCCAGGGGGCUGUUUCCCAAACGUGUCAUUCAUCGUUCGUGCGCCCUUCUCGGCACCAUCUAGUCACCUGCCACCCUGAGAUGUGUCGCACACGCUCUGAGGGUGCUGGUUUAGCUUUGCCAGCGCUGGCUGCGGGGAGAGGCCAGGUCUGAAACCACCCACACGGUCACGGCCACGGCCACGGCCACGGCCACGGUCACGGCACGCCUCUGCCUGGCCCUGGCCGGGUCUGGCGCCCACAAGCUGCGGUGCAGUGCCACACCCCCAUUCGGUAUCUGGUAUUCAGGCCCCUGCGCUCGGCCUCUACCUCCCCAGAGCUUUACUGUCCUCUCCUGUGCCCAGCACAGCCCGUCCUUCAAAUCCCAGCUCAGUGCCAACUCCGUGUGAGGCCGUGGUCCUCUCUGCCCUCUCCCUCCCCUGCUUCCUCACGACCACCCACCGCCCAAGAUGGCAGCAGCGUGACAAACCAGGAGGCCAAAGUGGGGAGUGAUGUGAAUGAGAAGAGAGGCUGAGGCAAAGGCCCCCGAGACGGGGAGAGUCGGGGUGUGGAAGGAGACCCCCCAGGGAAAAUCGGAGGGCAAGUCCGGCAAGAAGACAGAAGGGAGGAGACACCACGUCAGAGAGAACCAAGGAAAGACAGGUUACAGAGAGGAGGAAACACACAGACACAGGGAAGGGGCUGAAGGUCUAGAGACCAAGACGCCCUGAACCCCAGCCACCGGGGGACACCCCGCUCCCCCAAACUCCAGCCUCCAUCUCCGCAGCAUCCAAGCAUGUGUGUGCGCGCACACACACACACACACACACACACACCCAGCUCUCAAGUCCUUGUAGGACCAUGUCCACCCCAUCCACCCCCCAAGCCUCUUCUCCACCCAGGCCUAGUUCCACAGGCCCUCCCCUCCCCCAUUUCCUGGGGUGUCCCCAGAGGCCCCUCCUACCCAAGGAUGGAUCUGAAGGUCGGUUCUGGAAAGGAACCUGGGGAAACAACUUCAGGAGGAGACGGAUGUCCGGCAUACUUAGAAAAUACAGAUUUUUGUACCGUGUGUCCCUCGCGUGCAUCGCUCGUGCGUGAGAAACAGAGUGGCUAAAUUGUCCUCCUAACCGCAGAGUCUGACCCCGGGCUGGCUGACAGUGACGAGCCCGAGCUACCAUGGUGAGGUCCUGCCGGAGAGACCCCCGUGGAGAUGAGCCUGAAGCCACCUUAGGACCUUCAAGCCCUAACUGACCUCCAGCUGACUGCAGCCACGAGCGACCCCAGCUACAUGGGAGCAGAAGAAACAGCUGAGCUCAGCCAACGCACGGACCUGUGGGAAAUAAUAAAGCAUUGUGUUUUUUUUAAUGUUUUGAGAGACAGACGGACGGAGAGCAAGCAGGGGAGGGGCAGAGAGAAGGGGGGAGACGCAGAAUCCG